rnacentral:lncRNA from 1 species
GAAGAUUUGGAGGAUCAUCUAAAUACCCAUCCAACAGAGAAAUACAUGAUUCAUGUAUUUCUCAAGACAGCCAUACACUAAAAUUAUAAGAUCAUAAGAAUAUUAAUUAUAUUCUACCAAUGCAAUACAAGCAUUGAAAUGGAUGGCAUCUGAUCCUGCUUCAUGUGAUUCCUCAUUUAGCUCUGGACUCUUUACGUCAUUAAGGCUUUUUCUUUGCAGGAAUUUAAAAGCAACCCUAUGAAUAUAACAUUUGUCAAAAAGAGCAAGUGCCAAGCCAGUUGAGAAUAAGCUUACAAUGUGUACAAGGAUUCCAGUUCUGCUGCUAUAUAAACCAGCCUCAAAUA